AUGGAAAGGAAGGGAAGGGAAAGGAAAGGAAGAGAAGGGAAAGGAAAGGAAGUGAAGGAAUGGAAAGGAAGGGAAGGGAAAGGAAAGGAAGGGAAAGGAAAGGAAAGGAAGGGAAGGGAAAGGAAAGGAAGGGAAAGGAAAGGAAAGGAAGGGAAGGGAAAGGAAAGGAAGGGAAAGGAAAGGAAAGGAAGGGAAAGGAAAGGAAAGGAAGGGAAGGGAAGGAAUGGAAAGGAAGGGAAGGGAAAGGAAAGGAAGAGAAGGGAAAGGAAAGGAAAGGAAGGGAAGGGAAGGAAGGGAAGGAAUGGAAAGGAAGGGAAGGGAAAGGAAAGGAAGGGAAGGGAAGGGAAGGAAUGGAAAGGAAGGGAAGGGAAAGGAAAGGAAGAGAAGGGAAAGGAAAGGAAGAGAAGGGAAAGGAAAGGAAGGGAAGGAAUGGAAAGGAAGGGAAGGGAAAGGAAAGGAAAGGAAGGGAAGGGAAGGGAAGGAAUGGAAAGGAAGGGAAGGGAAAGGAAAGGAAGAGAAGGGAAAGGAAAGGAAGAGAAGGGAAAGGAAGGGAAGGGAAAAGAAGAGAAAGGUAAGGGAAAGGAAAGGAAGGGAAGGGAGGGAAACAAAGAAAGGGAAGGGAAAGGAAAGGAAGAGAAGAGAAGGGAAAAGAAAAAAAAGGAAGGGAAGGGAAAGGAAAAAGGAAAGGAAAGGAAGGGAAAGGAAAGGAAGAGAAGGGAAAGAAAAGGAAGAGAAGGGAAAGGAAAGGAAAAGAAGGGAAAGGAAAGGAAGAGAAGGGAAAGGAAAGGAAGGGAAGGAAUGGAAAGGAAGGGAAGGGAAAGGAAAGGAAGGGAAGGGAAGGGAAGGGAAGGGAAGGAAUGGACAGGAAGGGAAGGGAAAGGAAAGGAAGAGAAGGGAAAGGAAGAGAAAGGUAAGGGAAAGGAAAGGAAGGGAAGGGAGGGAAACAAAGAGAAAGGGAAGGGAAAGAAAAGGAAAGGAAGGGAAAGGAAAAAGGAAAGGAAAGGAAGAGAAAGGAAAGGAAAGGAAGGGAAGAAAGGGAAGGAGGAAGGAAGAAAAGGAAAGGAAGGAGAGGGAGGAAAGAAAGUCAGGAUGAACGCAGAGUGGGAAGGAAGGAGAGAAGGGGAGGAGGGAGGAAGAACAUAA
rnacentral:lncRNA from 1 species